rnacentral:rRNA from 1 species
GUCCUUUAGAGUAGAAUUUUAGGUCUAACCUGCCCAUUGAGGAAUUAAAAGGCCGCAGUAUUUUGACUGUGCAAAGGUAGCAUAAUCAUUAGUUUUUUAAUUGAAAGCUUGUAUGAAUGGUUGGACGAGAUAUAAACUGUCUUUAGGUUAAUAAUAGAAUUUAAUUUUUAAGUUAAAAAGCUUAAAUUUAAUUAAAAGACGAGAAGACCCUAUAAAUCUUUAUAUAUUUGUUUAUAUGAUUUUUUAGGAUUAAUAAUUUUUAUAUAAAUAAAAUUUAUUUUAUUGGGGUAAUAGAAAGAUUAAAAAAAUUCUUUUUAAAAAUUUACAUAGAUUAGUGUUUUGGUGAUCCUAUUUUAUAGAUUAUAAGAAUAAGUUACUUUAGGGAUAACAGCGUAAUUUUUUUAGAGAGUUCUUAUCGAUAAAAAAGUUUGCGACCUCGAUGUUGGAUUAAAAUUAAUUUUAGGUGUAGAAGUUUAAAUUUUUAGUCUGUUCGACUAUUGAAAUUUUACAUGAUCUGAGUUCAAACCGGUGUAAGCCAGGUUGGUUUCUAUCUUUAAUAAAUUAUAAUAUUUUAGUACGAAAGGACCAAGUAUUAAAUAUAAAAUAUUUAAUUUAUGAAUAAAAGUAAUUAUGGGAUUACUUUGGCAGAAUAGUGUGAUGGGUUUAGAUUUCAUUUAUGUAAAUAUUUUUACAAGUAAUAUUGUUUAUAUUUGAUAUUAUAUUAAUAUUUAUUUGUUUUAUUAUUUUAGUUAUUUGCGUAUUGAUUGGGGUUGCGUAUUUAACUUUAUUAGAGCGAANGGUUUU